rnacentral:rRNA from 1 species
AACGUAGGGGACAAGCGUUAUCCGGAUUUACUGGGCGUAAAGCGCCCGUAGGCGGCUUUUUAAGGUGGACGUGAAAGCUCCCGGCUUAACUGGGAGAGGCCGUUCAAAACUGAGAGGCUAGAGUGAGGCAGAGGAGCGCGGAAUUCCCGGUGUAGUGGUGGAAUGCGUAGAUAUCGGGAGGAACACCAGUGGCGAAAGCGGCGCUCUGGGCCUAAACUGACGCUGAGGGGCGAAAGCGUGGGGAGCGAACAGG